UACAGAGGGUGCGAGCGUUGUUCGGAAUUACUGGGCGUAAAGCGCGCGCAGGCGGCCUUUUAAGUCUGCUGGUGAAAUGCCGGGGCUCAACCCCGUGCCCGCCACAGAUACUGGGAGGCUGGAGACGAGUAGAGGCAAGCGGAAUUCCUGGUGUAGCGGUGAAAUGCGCAGAUAUCAGGAGGAACACCAAUGGCGAAAGCAGCUCUCUGGGACGGUACUGACGCUGAGACGCGAAAGCGUGGGGAGCGAACAGG
rnacentral:rRNA from 1 species